rnacentral:rRNA from 1 species
GACCACUUUGUGAUUCAUGACUGGGGUGAAGUCGUAACAAGGUAACCGUAGGGGAACCUGCGGUUGGAUCACCUCCUUACCUUAAAGAA